UGCAACUGAUUGUGGUUCUGUUGCAACUUAUUAUCCAUCUGUUGCUAAGUUGUGUUGGAUUAUUGAUUCAGAGAACCCUAUGCAACAGAUGGACCAUCCGUUGCAUCUUUACAAUUACUAACCUAUUUAAAAAUUGACUUCUUUAAAAAUUGACUUUUUAUCUCACAGCAUGUUGACAUAAUUCUCUACCUCAUGAGAAAAAGGCAAUUAAC
rnacentral:lncRNA from 1 species